ACUCCUACGGGAGGCAGCAGUAGGGAAUCUUCCACAAUGGACGCAAGCCUGAUGGGGCAACACCGCGUGAGUGAAGAAGGGUUUCGGCUCGUAAAGCUCUGUUGUUAAAGAAGAACACGUAUGAGAGUAACUGUUCAUACGUUGACGGUAUUUAACCAGAAAGUCACGGCUAACUACGUGCCAGCAGCCGCGGUAAUACGUAGGUGGCAAGCGUUAUCCGGAUUUAUUGGGCGUAAAGAGAGUGCAGGCGGUUUUCUAAGUCUGAUGUGAAAGCCUUCGGCUUAACCGGAGAAGUGCAUCGGAAACUGGAUAACUUGAGUGCAGAAGAGGGUAGUGGAACUCCAUGUGUAGCGGUGGAAUGCGUAGAUAUAUGGAAGAACACCAGUGGCGAAGGCGGCUACCUGGUCUGCAACUGACGCUGAGACUCGAAAGCAUGGGUAGCGAACAGGAUUAGAUACCCUGGUAGGAUAGCG
rnacentral:rRNA from 1 species